CACAUGUGUUUCCGCAUCAGAUUUGCCGGUCAGUCUGUUUACGCUUCGUGAAUCCUUUUAGAACCGCUGUUCUCGUAGAAGUUCCGGUGUAUUUCGAGUGAUUCCCGCGUGUAAUAGUGCUUUUCUGGUGAUAAAAUUGUAUGGUGUGAGCUAUUCGAUUCAGUUUCAGUGAAAGAACCAAGUGCGGAUCAGUGUGCAUUGAAGGUUUUAUUACCACGGCUCAAGUUCAAGGUCUAUCGCAGUGCUAAUUUCAGUGAAUACAUUAGAAUCCUAUCUCAGUUAUCAACGAUGGAAAGUGAAUCAUCCAACUUGGUGGCCGGUUCAAGUGCCGAGGACUCGGUUCCGAAGCAGGAGCCCGUUGGCGAUACGGGUGAGAAAACCGCGUCCGUGGUUACGUUUCGUAACGUAAACACACAGCACGGCGACCAUCGCACCGUCGACGAAGCCAACAUCGUCGUCUUUCGAAUUUGUCAUUCUCCGACGCCUAGUGCGCUGUGUGACGACGAUGGCAAGGAGCAGCAGGUCAUUUGGUUCGAGGAGUUUGUCCCACCGGAAAACAAGGUAAGCACCACCAACCCACCAUUUGCAGCGCAUACUGAACUGAACUGUAUUGCUCCCGGUGGCGCACGGCGAGCUUACGUAUGUGCAUAUUGAAGCAGCAAAUAGUCGACCUAGGGCGACGAUCAACACAGGUUACAGCUCGUAAAUGUACCUCUAUGUUGUGUAUCGCAGAUAUAGACGACGCCCGGCAGCAGCAAAGAGAACUGGCUUAUGUUAAACGAAAAGCUUUAAUCUUCUAAGAGUGUUUCAAGACCUUCAAGAAACUCUUUGACAUAGUUACAACUGUUACAAGUCGACAAAAACAGUACGAAGCGGUAUCGCGGAACACACCCAUGUGUAUUAGUUAAAAAAUGACGGUCUCUAUGUUAGCAAUAUUGCACAUUUUGACUCCAUGUGUUUUCUAUUCAUGCUGGGAUAUUACAAAUGAGCAGUUACAUUGAUCAUUCUUGGAACAGUUUUUGAAAUACAUGCUGAAUACAAUUCAGAUGCUUUUAAGUUUUGAUUUAAAAACUUGAAAUUUAUUUGACAUUGAUG